rnacentral:lncRNA from 1 species
CAUGGUCUCCCCAAUAGCAGGUUGUAUCCCGAGUCUAUUUUGAGGACGUGGAAGGAUACAUUGAAUGUAUUUGGACCAAUCUCAAUUGGCAACUCAAUCUUUUUGACGUAAUUUUGCCGGGAUCCAUCAAAAGCUUUGAUCACCGUAUGGCUACUUUGGAUCUGCUUGAGAUUGACAUUCAUCUUCACCAAGGUAGCACAAGGACAGA